rnacentral:rRNA from 1 species
CCUACGGGAGGCAGCAGUGGGGAAUAUUGCACAAUGGGGGAAACCCUGAUGCAGCGACGCCGCGUGAGUGAAGAAGUAAUUCGGUAUGUAAAGCUCUAUCAGCAGGGGAGAAAAUGACGGUACCUGAGUAAGAAGCCCCGGCUAACUACGUGCCAGCAGCCGCGGUAAUACGUAGGGGGCAAGCGUGAUCCGGAUUUACUGGGUGUAAAGGGAGCGUAUACGGCAGUGCAAGUCUGGAGUGAAAGGCGGGGGCUCAACCCCCGGACUGCUCUGGAAACUGUACGGCUGGAGUGCAGGAGAGGUAAGUGGAAUGCCUAGUGUAGCGGUGAAAUGCGUAGAUAUUAGGAGGAACACCAGUGGCGAAGGCGGCUUACUGGACUGUAACUGACGUUGAGGCUCGAAAGCGUGGGGAGCAAACAGGAUUAGAUACCCGAGUAGUC